UACAGAGGUCUCGAGCGUUAGGCGGAAUCACUGGGCUUAAAGCGUGUGUAGGUGGAUGCCUAAGUACCUUGUGAAAUCCCACAGCUUAACUGUGGAACUGCUUGGUAUACUGGGUGUCUUGAGUCACUCAGGGGCGAGCGGAACAAAUGGUGGAGCGGUGAAAUGCGUAGAUAUCGCUUGGAACGCCAAAGGUGAAAACAGGUUGCUGGGGAUGCGCUGACACUGAGACGCGAAAGCCAGGGGAGCGAACGGG
rnacentral:rRNA from 1 species